AUUGUAGCUUGCUACAGAUGACGACCGGCGCACGGGUGCAUAACGCGUAUAGAACCUACCUUUUACAGAGGGAUAGCCUUUAGAAAUGAAGAUUAAUACCUUAUGGCAUUAUAGACUGGCAUCAGUUUAUAAUUAAAGAUUUAUCGGUAAAAGAUGGCUAUGCGUCCUAUUAGUUAGAUGGUAAGGUAACGGCUUACCAUGACAUCGAUAGGUAGGGGUCCUGAGAGGGAGAUCCCCCACACUGGUACUGAGACACGGACCAGACUCCUACGGGAGGCAGCAGUGAGGAAUAUUGGACAAUGGAGGAGACUCUGAUCCAGCCAUGCCGCGUGUAGGAAGAAUGCCCUAUGGGUUGUAAACUACUUCUAUACAGGAAGAAACACUGGUAUGUAUACCAGCUUGACGGUACUGUAAGAAUAAGGACCGGCUAACUCCGUGCCAGCAGCCGCGGUAAUACGGAGGGUCCGAGCGUUAUCCGGAAUCAUUGGGUUUAAAGGGUCCGCAGGCGGUCUAUUAAGUCA
rnacentral:rRNA from 1 species